rnacentral:rRNA from 1 species
UUUAUUAGAACAAAACCAAUCGGCUUCGGUCGUUUCGUUUGUGACUCUGAAUAACUUUGCUGAUCGUACAGUCUUUGUACUGACGACGCAUCUUUCAAGUGUCUGCCUUAUCAACUGUCGACGGUAGUUUCUGUGCCUACCGUGGUUGUAGCGGGUAACGGAGUAUAAGGGUACGACUCCGGAGAGGCAGCCUGAGAAACGGCUACCACAUCCAAGGAAGGCAGCAGGCGCGCAAAUUACCCACUCUCAGCACGAGGAGGUAGUGACGAAAAAUAACGAGUCGGUUCUCUAUGAGGCCCGAUAUCGGAAUGGGUACAAUUUAAACCCUUUAACGAGGACCUAUGAGAGGGCAAGUCUGGUGCCAGCAGCCGCGGUAAUUCCAGCUCUCAAGGUGUAUAUCGCCAUUGCUGCGGUUAAAAAGCUCGUAGUUGGAUCUGCGCCCGUGGACUCGGUCCGCCCAAGUGGUGUGAACUGAACUCCCGGGCUUAUCUGCCGGUUUUCGUGCAGUGCUCUUAACCGGGUGCUGUGCGUGGCUGGCGAGUUUACUUUGAAGAAAUUAGAGUGCUCAAAACAGGC